rfam:Stegodyphus mimosarum contig16368, whole genome shotgun sequence.
GCCUUCGUGGUGUAGUGGUCUGCACGCUCGACUUGUAAACGAGAGGUUCGUGGUUUGAUUCCUGGCGAAGGCU